rnacentral:rRNA from 1 species
GACGAACGCUGGCGGCGUGCUUAACACAUGCCAGUCGAACGGAAAGGCCCUGCUUUUGUGGGGUGCUCGAGUGGCGAACGGGUGAGUAACACGUGAGUAACCUGCCCUUGACUUUGGGAUAACUUCAGGAAACUGGGGCUAAUACCGGAUAGGAGCUCCUGCUGCAUGGUGGGGGUUGGAAAGUUUCGGCGGUUGGGGAUGGACUCGCGGCUUAUCAGCUUGUUGGUGGGGUAGUGGCUUACCAAGGCCUUGACGGGUAGCCGGCCUGAGAGGGUGACCGGCCACAUUGGGACUGAGAUGCGGCCCAGACUCCUACGGGAGGCAGCAGUGGAGAAUAUUGCACAAUGGGCGGAAGCCUGAUGCAGCAACGCCGCGUGCGGGAUGACGGCCUUCGGGUUGUAAACCGCUUUCGCCUGUGACGAAGCGUGAGUGACGGUAAUGGGUAAAGAAGCACCGGCUAACUACGUG